rnacentral:rRNA from 1 species
GAUGAACGCUGGCGGCGUGCCUAAUACAUGCAAGUCGAGCGAACAGACGAGGAGCUUGCUCCUCUGACGUUAGCGGCGGACGGGUGAGUAACACGUGGAUAACCUACCUAUAAGACUGGGAUAACUUCGGGAAACCGGAGCUAAUACCGGAUAAUAUAUUGAACCGCAUGGUUCAAUAGUGAAAGACGGUUUUGCUGUCACUUAUAGAUGGAUCCGCGCCGCAUUAGCUAGUUGGUAAGGUAACGGCUUACCAAGGCAACGAUGCGUAGCCGACCUGAGAGGAUGAUCGGCACCAGUGCAGAGAGGACGCGGACCAAAACCGUACGGGAGGCAGCAGUAGGAAUCCUACGGGAAGGGGCGAAAGCUUAACGGGGCAACGCGGGGUGAGUGAGGAAGGUCUUCGGAGCGUAAAACUCGGUUAUUAGGGAAGAACAAAUGUGUAAUUAACUAUGCACGUCUGGAGGGAACCGAAUAAGAAGGCCCGGCUAACCUACGG